UUCAGCAGAUUUAACAAAGAUAGAAAUAAAGACUUAAAGAUGGAUUAAUUAUAAGAAAAAUCCAACUAGCUUCUAGACAUACCUUCUUUUCUACUUUCAUGGAUUAGGAACAAAAAACUGCCCGUUUAAAGGGUUAGGAUGAAUAUUGCCAUUAUGUAAAGAUACUACACUUCCAUGAUUCAUGACUCGUGUAUACUUAUAUUUUUGCAGACUUGGGAUAGCUAAUGAAAUGAUCUAUUUUUUCUAAA